rnacentral:rRNA from 1 species
AACGAACGCUGGCGGCAUGCCUAACACAUGCAAGUCGAACGAGACCUUCGGGUCUAGUGGCGCACGGGUGCGUAACGCGUGGGAACCUGCCUUUAGGUUCGGAAUAACUCAGAGAAAUUUGAGCUAAUACCGGAUAAUGUCUUCGGACCAAAGAUUUAUCGCCUUUAGAUGGGCCCGCGUUGGAUUAGCUAGUUGGUGGGGUAAAGGCCUACCAAGGCGACGAUCCAUAGCUGGUCUGAGAGGAUGAUCAGCCACACUGGGACUGAGACACGGCCCAGACUCCUACGGGAGGCAGCAGUGGGGAAUAAUUGGACAAUGGGCGAAAGCCUUGAUCCAGCAAAUUGCCGCGUGAGUGAUG